GUAGUCUCGCACAGACGCAUAUCAAUAAGCGGAGGAAAAGAAACUAACAAGGAUUCCCCUAGUAGCGGCGAGUGAAGCGGGAAGAGCUCAAAUUUGAAAUCUUAAAGGGUUUUCCCUUGACGAAUUGUAGUUUAAAGAAGUGUUUUCUGUUGAAGGUUUUGGUAAAAGUUCUUUGGAAUAGGACAUCAUAGAGGGUGAGAAUCCCGUAUUUGACCAUUACUUUUCAAGCUGUGUGAUACACUUUCAAAGAGUCGGAUUGUUUGGGAAUGCAGUCCAAAAUGGGUGGUAAAUUUCAUCUAAAGCUAAAUAUUGGCGAGAGACCGAUAGCGAACAAGUACCGUGAGGGAAAGAUGAAAAGAACUUUGAAAAGAGAGUUAAACAGUACGUGAAAUUGUCAAAAGGGAAGCGUUUGACACCAGUGUUGUUUUUCUGAAAAUCAAUUAAAGAACUGUUUAUGCUAAGCUGUUUAGACUUUAUCAGCUAUCUGCUUAGUUUUGAGCUUUUCUUUAAUGCACUUUUCAGUUAACAAGUCAACAUCAAUUUCUUUUGCUGUAAAAAAAGCUUGAGGAAGGUGGCUUGAGAUUCGUCUUAAGUGUUUAUAGCCUCUUGCCUAUGCAGUCGGAGAGAUUGAGGUCUGCAGCGUAGAUCCUUCGGGGCUAAAUGCAUUUGUGCUAAGUUAUAGCAUUUUAUAGACAACUUGUUGACUAUGAUUUGUCUUGUAGCUUACUCGCUUAUGUUAUUUUACCUACGCUUAGGAUGUUGACAGCAGUAUAGACUGU
rnacentral:rRNA from 1 species